rnacentral:rRNA from 1 species
UACAUGGGGUGCAAACGUUGCUCGGAAUUAUUGGGCGUAAAGCGCACGUAGGCGGUUCGUUAAGUCGGAUGUGAAAGCCCUCGGCUCAACUGAGGAAGUGCACCCGAAACUGGCGAGCUUGAGUACGAAAGAGGAUCGCGGAAUUCCCGGUGUAGAGGUGAAAUGCGUAGAUAUCGGGAGGAACACCUGUGGCGAAAGCGGCGCACUGGACCACAUCUGACGCUGAGGCGCGAAUGCUAGGGGAGCAAACAGG